CACUUUCUUGGUUGGGAUUGUGGACUGUAACUGUCCACAUGAACCCGGAAUUCCCAGUAAGUGUGAGUCAUAAGCUUGCAUUGAUUACGUCCCUGCCCUUUGUACACACCGCCCGUCGCUACUACUGAUGAAUUGUUUAGUGAGGUCUCUGGACGUGUACGCCGAAAUACUCUUGUAGUAAUUUGGUAUGUUACACAGAAGUUGACCGAACUUGAUUAUUUAGAGGAAGUAAAAGUCGUAACAAGGUUUCCGUAGGUGAACCUGCGGAAGGAUCAUUG
rnacentral:ncRNA from 1 species